rnacentral:lncRNA from 1 species
CGUAUUGGCUUGGUUUUGGUUUGUGAGUUUUGAAAGGACCGUGCAUGACAGUCCUCUUCAGCAGUAGGCAAAAAUACCUGGCCAAAGUGAUGUUUCGCCAAAUUUUGCAGUUUGUGACUGUAUCAAAGAUUCAACAGAUAAAAGUUUUUAAUUGUACGGGAACAAUUUCUUUUAAAAAAUCACAACAGCUGCACACAGUUGUGAACGUGCUUUGUGUGUUAUCAUAAGAAGCUGAAUCUGAUAAUUUUUCUGCGGUGUUUUGCUAUGCUGAUCAAAGUGUACUGGUCUCAUGACUGAACUGCUAACGCAUCUAAAGAGCUUCACAGAGAAGCCGCUACAGCAUGCGAGUGCUGCAGGUUUUUGUAUGCAGACUCACCAAAUUGUGAGAGUUUUUAUUUUUGCAACCUAACUUCUCUCUCCAUGGCAAACUGGAUGCAGGAUCUACUUGCUUUAACUGGUGUUUAAGCGGCUGUGUCACGGAUCUCUCAGCAGUAGGUGGUACCCUGACAGCAAGGCUUUGGGGCUCGGUUUGGACAAAGUUCUGAGAUCUUAUGCUUUCUGAUGCCUAGAGAUGUUUGAGAUCUCCAACAUACAAAGUUCAGUGCCUUCAGGUCUGCACUGCAGUUGCAAAAACAAUAGACCUCCUUUGACUGAAGUGGUUUGUGGCAAAACGCUGCCUCUUUUUACAGCUCUCCCACCAUCCAAGUGGCAGAUGUGAUCUGACACCGACGGAGGCUGGGUCGAGUGCCGUGAAUAUUGUAUGUCCUGUUGGCACACUCAGCCUAGGAGCAGCAGCUUUGAAAGUUUCUUGACAGCUUUUCCUGGCAGGCCUUCCAGUACCCACAGCGUGCUCUGCCUAUGGGGACGAUGCCUGCUUGUCCCGUCCUGAAAGGUGGUCGGUGCUGCUGGUACGUGCCAUGGACUUGGGUCUACCCAAAAUUUGUGCCAGACUUUCUGUGUUUGGGGUAGGAGGGGAGUUGUUUGUUUGGUUUGGUUUGGUUUUAUAUCGGGUACUGUGUUCUUCUGUUGGAUGCCUGGUGUUGGGCAGCAGGCACACCAAAUACUUGAUGACUUUCAGGCUACAAAUGGAGGAGGAGAGCAAUAGAGAACUGUUCAUCUAUCCAGCUACAUUGUGCAAAUUUGAGAUGUAGUAUUUGUUCGGUGG